ACGCUGGCGGCUGCCUAAUACAUGCAAGUCGAACGCUUCUUUCCUCCCGAGUGCUUGCACUCAAUUGGAAAGAGGAGUGGCGGACGGGUGAGUAACACGUGGGUAACCUACCCAUCAGAGGGGGAUAACACUUGGAAACAGGUGCUAAUACCGCAUAACAGUUUAUGCCGCAUGGCAUAAGAGUGAAAGGCGCUUUCGGGUGUCGUUGAUGGAUGGACCCGCGGUGCAUUAGCUAGUUGGUGAGGUAACGGCUCACCAAGGCCACGAUGCAUAGCCGACCUGAGAGGGUGAUCGGCCACACUGGGACUGAGACACGGCCCAGACUCCUACGGGAGGCAGCAGUAGGGAAUCUUCGGCAAUGGACGAAAGUCUGACCGAGCAACGCCGCGUGAGUGAAGAAGGUUUUCGGAUCGUAAAACUCUGUUGUUAGAGAAGAACAAGGACGUUAGUAACUGAACGUCCCCUGACGGUAUCUAACCAGAAAGCCACGGCUAACUACGUGCCAGCAGCCGCGGUAAUACGUAGGUGGCAAGCGUUGUCCGGAUUUAUUGGGCGUAAAGCGAGCGCAGGCGGUUUCUUAAGUCUGAUGUGAAAGCCCCCGGCUCAACCGGGGAGGGUCAUUGGAAACUGGGAGACUUGAGUGCAGAAGAGGAGAGUGGAAUUCCAUGUGUAGCGGUGAAAUGCGUAGAUAUAUGGAGGAACACCAGUGGCGAAGGCGG
rnacentral:rRNA from 1 species